GUGCCUAACACAUGCAAGUCGAACGCGAAAGUUCCUUCGGGGAUGAGUAGAGUGGCGUCCGGGUGAGUAACGCGUGGGUAAUCUACCUUCGGGUGGGGAAUAACUCAGGGAAACUUGAGCUAAUACCGCAUAAUGCAGCGGCUCGACAUCGAGACAGUUGUUAAAGCAGCAAUGCGCCUGAAGAGGAGCCUGCGUCUGAUUAGCUAGUUGGUAAGGUAAUGGCUUACCAAGGCUACGAUCAGUAGCUGGUCUGAGAGGACGGCCAGCCACAAUGGCACUGAAACACGGGCCAU
rnacentral:rRNA from 1 species